CGGAUUUUAAGCAGUAAAACCCAAACUGAUUGUUUUCUGUGUUGUUUUUUUUUCUUAAUAGACAGAAGAAAGAAAUCUGGAUUACACUUUCUGUCUGUGCAGUUUCUGGUUGCAUGGCCUGCCCUUGCAGAUCUUGGAGCUGUGCCUCUACUAAUACGAGGACCCUGUUAACGAAGCUAAUGAGGAAUGUAAUACCUAACAAAAGGAAAACUGAUGUGCUGAAAUAUUCCAUUUUUCAGAGGAAAAAUAGAUGCAUGCCUGAGGACUCUAUUAUCGUGAUAAAGUGGCACAACACAAUGGAAGCAUGUUGGAAAAUCAACCCAUCUGAGAGAACUUUAUUGUGGAGUUACCUACGGGACUAUAGGAAGUUUACAGAAGUAGUCAUAAACUGAAGUUGAAGAAUUGCCUCCUACAUGGAUCUUUGCAGGAUGAACGGGUUCUCACAGAAAGCAGCUUUAUUGCCCUAUACCUUGUGCAGUUCAUUAUGUGUUCUGCUUGUGAUACUUAACAUUGCUAUGGUCUCUAAUCUGCAAAUUAGCUGCAAAAGGCAAGUGCAGUCAAAAAAUUAUUUACUACAAAUUUUGGAGCCCCAGAAGGAAGCUCAAAAUGAGAAAAUUGAUAAUUCUAGUUGCAUAUUGAGCUGAUGGCAAAUCUUCUUGAGAUUUUACCCAGAAAGUCAGAAUUACACUGUAAAGUGUGGCUGUAUUCAGCCUCACAUUAAUCUUAUGUAUAUUUAUGAAGAAGAAAAAAAAAGGAAAAUCAUUCUAAGUGUAAUGACAAUGAUCUGAUAAGAUUAACUUAAUGUAGAAUAACAAUAAAUGGGCAAAACCUACUGAUGUGAUGGAAACA
ensembl:lncRNA